UCCCCGCCAGCCUCACGGUGCUGGGACACCUGCUUUGCCCUUUCCUCCUGGAGCUCCUGUUUUCAUGGUGACCAGUAGAGGUGCCUUCUCCAGUGGCU